rnacentral:rRNA from 1 species
AUUGAACGCUGGCGGCAUGCCUUACACAUGCAAGUCGAACGGUAACGCGGGGCAACCUGGCGACGAGUGGCGAACGGGUGAGUAAUGUAUCGGAACGUGCCCAGUAGUGGGGGAUAGCCCGGCGAAAUCCGGAUUAAUACCGCAUACGACCUGAGGGGGAAAGCGGGGGAGCGCAAGACCUCGCGCUAUUGGAGCGGCCGAUAUCAGAUUAGCUAGUUGGUGGGGUAAAGGCCUACCAAGGCGACGAUCUGUAGCUGGUCUGAGAGGACGACCAGCCACACUGGGACUGAGACACGGCCCAGACUCCUACGGGAGGCAGCAGUGGGGAAUUUUGGACAAUGGGCGAAAGCCUGAUCCAGCCAUGCCGCGUGCGGGAAGAAGGCCUUCGGGUUGUAAACCGCUUUUGUCAGGGAAGAAAAGGCUCGAACUAAUACUUUGGGCUCAUGACGGUACCUGAAGAAUAAGCACCGGCUAACUACGUGCCAGCCGCCGCCGUAAAAC